CCCGCCGCUCCCGUACCUACCCCGGCCCCGGCGGAAGCGGCGGCGGAAGGGGCGGGAGCGGCGGGAGCGGCGGGCGGAGCGAGCGGAGCCAUGUCGGGCCGGGAGGGCGGCAAGAAGAAGCCGCUGAAGCAGCCGAAGAAGCAGACGAAGGACCUGGAUGAGACAGAUCUGGCAUUCAAACAAAAGCAGAAGGAGGAGCAAAAGAAACUUGAGGAGAUGAAAGCAAAAGCUGCUGGAAAAGGGCCUCUGGCCAGUGGUGGAAUAAAGAAGUCUGGCAAAAAGUAGUUUGAUUAAACUGCAGGGUAAGAAGUGAUCGAGUUACUCAAUGGAUUUGCAGACUUCAGAGAGUCAUGAAAACUCACUGUCAUUUUGGGAACAUUGUACAUUUUGUUUAGUCUGAAUAAAUACUUUUUGUUAAGAUGUGA